rnacentral:rRNA from 1 species
UACUUAACACAUGCGUGUCCAGCGGUAAGGCCUUUCGGGGUACACGAGCGGCGAACGGGUGAGUAACACGUGGGUGAUCUGCCCUGCACUUCGGGAUAAGCCUGGGAAACUGGGUCUAAUACCGGAUAUGACCUCAGGUUGCAUGACUUGGGGUGGAAAGAUUUAUCGGUGCAGGAUGGGCCCGCGGCCUAUCAGCUUGUUGGUGGGGUAAUGGCCUACCAAGGCGACGACGGGUAGCCGACCUGAGAGGGUGACCGGCCACACUGGGACUGAGACACGGCCCAGACUCCUACGGGAGGCAGCAGUGGGGAAUAUUGCACAAUGGGCGAAAGCCUGAUGCAGCGACGCCGCGUUGAGGGAUGACGGCCUUCGGGUUGUAAACCUCUUUCAGCAGGGACGAAGCGCAAGUUGACGGUACCUGCAGAAGAAGCACCGGCUAACUACGU